CUUACCUGUUGGAUUGAUCACACGCAACACCUGAGUUGGAAUUACACUGAGAAUUUUUGGCAUGGCUGGAGCUAACUGGUGAACAGUGUAUGCUCAAUGCCUUGGCACCUAAGAUAUGCAAAAACAUUUUUGCUAAAUACAGAAACAAAUAAAUGAAUAAAGAAGAAAACAAAGGAAGGAGGAAAUGAACAGAUGGCUUUUUCCACUUAACAUCUAAAGGGAUUCUGUGACCCUGAAGAAUUGUUUGCCCUGAAGAAUUCCCAUCAAGUAGACAAGUCGUGGAAAGAGGGAUGCUUCUGGCAUCACAGCUCUGAACUAUAAGCAGAAGGUAAAAGCCCUGACUCACAGCCUCAACCACCAAGUAACUGCAUGACUAACACAACAAACUAUCUGCCUGCUAUAUCAGGCCACAGGCAAAAAAAUUACAACCAGGCUGAAAGGGAUACAAAGAUCUUAGUAUUAUUUCCUUGAGAUCCAAAGAAUGCCACAAACAGCACCAACCCCUACUGUUU